UCCUGGCGGGGGCCCUCGGCUUGGGA
rnacentral:sRNA from 1 species